rnacentral:rRNA from 1 species
AUACGGGGGGUGCAAGCGUUGUUCGGAAUUAUUGGGCGUAAAGAGCGUGUAGGCGGCGUGAUAAGUCAGAUGUGAAAUCCCUGGGCUCAACCCAGGAAGUGCAUUUGAAACUGUCUCGCUUGAGUACGGGAGAGGGAAGAGGAAUUCCUGGUGUAGAGGUGAAAUUCGUAGAUAUCAGGAGGAACACCGGUGGCGAAGGCGACUUCCUGGCCCGAUACUGACGCUGAGACGCGAGAGCGUGGGGAGC